CCAUCCCCUAGAAACAUUGCAGGUGUGGCUGCUGUAUCACAUGUGCGUCACUAGGUGGCAGAAAGGAGAGAGGCUAUGUCUAUGCUCAGUGUUCUGACCUACGAACAUCUGAAUGAUUAGGAGCCUAACAUU